UCAAGUUAUUAAGGGUGCAGGGCGGAUGCCUUGGCACUAGGAGCCGAUGAAGGACGUGAUAAGCUGCGAUAAGCUUCGGGGAGUUGCACGUAAACUUUGAUCCGAAGAUUUCCGAAUGAGGAAACUCACUUAGAGUAAUGUCUAAGUAUCAUUAAGUGAAUACAUAGCUUAAUGAGGGGAACUCAGGGAACUGAAACAUCUAAGUACCUGAAGGAAGAGAAAGAAAUUCGAUUCCGUAAGUAGCGGCGAGCGAACGCGGAUUAGCCCAAACCAAUAAAGUUUUCUUUAUUGGGGUUGCGGACAUAUCAUAACGAAGAGGUAUCGUAAUUGAAGAGGUUUGGAAAGACCCACCACAGAAGGUAAUAGUCCUGUAUGUUAAACGAGAAGACUUUAGAUAUGAUCCAGAGUACCACGGGACACGUGAAACCCUGUGGGAAGCAGGAGGGACCACCCUCCAAGGCUAAAUACUACCUAGUGACCGAUAGCGUAUAGUACCGUGAGGGAAAGGUGAAAAGAACCCCGGGAGGGGAGUGAAAUAGAACCUGAAACCCUGCACUUACAAGCUGUGGAAGCACAUUUCUUGUGUGACCGCGUACUUUUUGUAGAACGGGCCAACGAGUUACGUUAAGUAGCAAGGUUAAGCACUUGAGGUGCGGAGCCGUAGCGAAAGCGAGUUUUAACUGAGCGUUCAGUUACUUGACGUAGACCCGAAACCGGGCGACCUACCCAUGAGCAGGAUGAAGCGAAAGUAAAAUUUCGUGGAGGUCCGAACCCACGAGCGUUGAAAAGCUCGGGGAUGACUUGUGGGUAGCGGUGAAAUUCCAAUCGAGCCCGGAGAUAGCUGGUUCUCCCCGAAAUAGCUUUAGGGCUAGCCUCAAGGUGAGAGAUACGGAGGUAGAGCACUGAAUGUCCUAGGGGGUAUUGCACCUACCGAAGACUAUCAAACUCCGAAUGCCGUCAUCUUAUACUUGGGAGUCAGACUGUGGGUGAUAAGAUUCAUAGUCGAAAGGGCAACAGCCCAGAUCGUCAGCUAAGGUCCCUAAAUGUAAGUUAAGUGGUAAAGGAUGUGGGAUUGCACAGACAACCAGGAUGUUGGCUUAGAAGCAGCCACUCAUUCAAAGAGUGCGUAAUAGCUCACUGGUCGAGUGAUCCUGCGCCGAAGAUUUCCGGGGCUAAAACUUACUACCGAAGCUACGGCAUCAGUAAUGAUGGGUAGGGGAGCUUCCCAUACGGGUUGAAGCAUGACCGUAAGGACAUGUGGACAGUAUGGGAGUGAGAAUGUUGGCAUGAGUAGCGAGAUGUGGGUGAGAAUCCCACAGGCCGUAAACCCAAGGUUUCCAGGGGAAGGUUCGUCCGCCCUGGGUUAGUCGGGACCUAAGCUGAGGCCGAAAGGCGUAGGUGAUGGACAACAGGUUGAUAUUCCUGUACUACCGAUAACCGUUUGAGAGAAGGGAUGACACAGUAGGAUAAGCUAAGCACACUGUUGGUUAUGUGUGCCCAAGCAUUGAGGCAGUCAAAGUAGGCAAAUCCGCUUUGAUAAUGCUGGGAUGUGAUGGGGAGCGAAAUUUAGUAGCGAAGUAGCUGAUUUCACACUGUCAAGAAAAGUCUCUAUCGAGGUUAAAGGUACCCGUACCGCAAACCGACACAGGUGGGUGAGGAGAGUAUCCUAAGGCCAGCGAGAGAACUGUUGUUAAGGAACUCGGCAAAAUGACCCCGUAACUUAGGGAUAAGGGGUGCCACCAUCAGGUGGCCGCAGAGAAUAGGCCCAAGCGACUGUUUACCAAAAACAUAGGUUUCUGCUAAGUCGCAAGACGAUGUAUAGGAGCUGACGCCUGCCCGGUGCUGGAAGGUUAAGGGGAUCUGUUAGAGCAAUCGAAGCAGUGAACUUAAGCCCCAGUAAACGGCGGCCGUAACUAUAACGGUCCUAAGGUAGCGAAAUUCCUUGUCGGGUAAGUUCC
rnacentral:rRNA from 1 species